rnacentral:lncRNA from 1 species
GCUGUCAUUGCCAAUGGGUUCCCACUCAAGGUUCCUGCCUGGUACAUUGGGCCUGCUGGUGCCACCAACUCCAUGAUCUCCCUCCUUCCUCCAUAUGCACCAACAGGCAGGCCACCACCAAUGAUCUUUCCAAGUGUUGUUAUAUCAGGUGUAAUGCCAAAGUAUUCCUGGGCACCACCAUAAGAUAUGCGGAAACCUGUCAUAACUUCAUCAAAGACAAGGAGAGCACCAUUUUCUUUGGUGAUUUCUUGGAGAGCAUUCAGGAAGUCAGGUUUGGGAGCUAUGAAGCCAGAGUUUCCAACAACAGGUUCAAGGAUGACUGCUGCAAUCUCUCCUUUAUUCGCCUCGAAGAGUUUUUCCACAGUUGAUAAGUCAUUGAAGGGUGAUGUUAGAGUUUCAAAGGUGGCUGCCCUGGGAACA